UACGUAGGGGGCAAGCGUUGUCCGGAUUUAUUGGGCGUAAAGAGCGUGUAGGCGGUUUGGUAGGUCCGCUGUGAAAACUCGAGCUCAACCUCGAGACGCCGGUGGAAACCAUCAGACUAGAGUCCGGAAGAGGAGAGUGGAAUUCCUGGUGUAGCGGUGAAAUGCGCAGAUAUCAGGAAGAACACCCGUGGCUAAGGCGGCUCUCUAGUACGGUACUGACGCUGAGACGCGAAAGCGUGGGGAUCAAACAGGA
rnacentral:rRNA from 1 species